rnacentral:rRNA from 1 species
GACGAACGCUGGCGGCGUGCUUAACACAUGCAAGUCGAACGGAAAGGCCCUGCUUUUGUGGGGUGCUCGAGUGGCGAACGGGUGAGUAACACGUGAGUAACCUGCCCUUGACUUUGGGAUAACUUCAGGAAACUGGGGCUAAUAUCGGAUAGGAGCUCCUGCUGCAUGGUGGGGGUUGGAAAGUUUCGGCGGUUGGGGAUGGACUCGCGGCUUAUCAGCUUGUUGGUGGGGUAGUGGUUUACCAAGGCUUUGACGGGUAGCCGGCCUGAGAGGGUGACCGGCCACAAUGGGACUGAGAGAGGGACCAGACGCCUACGGGAGGCAGCGGGGGGGAGUAUUGCACAAUGGGCGGGAGCCUGAGGCAGCGACGCCGGGUGCGGGAUGACGGCCUUCGGGUUGAAAACAGCUUUCGCCUGUGACGAAGCGUGAGUGACGGUAAUGGGUAAAGAAGCACCGGCUAACUACGUG